GACGAACGCUGGCGGCGUGCCUAAUACAUGCAAGUCGAGCGAAGUUUUUCUGGUGCUUGCACUAGAAAAACUUAGCGGCGAACGGGUGAGUAACACGUAAAGAACCUGCCUCAUAGACUGGGACAACUAUUGGAAACGAUAGCUAAUACCGGAUAACAGCAUUAACUGCAUGGUUGAUGUUUGAAAGUUGGUUAUGCUAACACUAUGAGAUGGCUUUGCGGUGCAUUAGCUAGUUGGUGGGGUAAAGGCCCACCAAGGCGACGAUGCAUAGCCGACCUGAGAGGGUGAUCGGCCACACUGGGACUGAGACACGGCCCAGACUCCUACGGGAGGCAGCAGUAGGGAAUCUUCCGCAAUGGGCGAAAGCCUGACGGAGCAACGCCGCGUGAGUGAAGAAGGAUUUCGGUUCGUAAAGCUCUGUUGUUAGGGAAGAAUGGAUAUGUAGUAAACUAUACAUAUAAAGAGACGGCACCUAAACCAGAAAGCCCCGGUA
rnacentral:rRNA from 1 species